UACGGGGGGAGCAAGCGUUGUUCGGAUUUACUGGGCGUAAAGGGCGCGUAGGCGGCCUCUGCAAGUCGACUGUGAAAUCUCCGGGCUUAACCCGGAAAGGUCAGCCGAUACUGCAGGGCUAGAGUGCAGAAGGGGCAACUGGAAUUCCAGGUGUAGCGGUGAAAUGCGUAGAUAUCUGGAGGAACACCGGUGGCGAAGGCGGCGUUCUGGACUGCAACUGACACUGAGAAACGAAAGCCAGGGUAGCAAACGGG
rnacentral:rRNA from 1 species